rnacentral:ncRNA from 1 species
GCUCUUCCUAUCAACCUGAAGCCGAAUUCACCAAGCGCUGGAUUGUCCACCCACUAAUAGGGAAUAUGAGCUGGGUUUAGACCAUCAUGUCAGGGUUAGUUUUACCCUACUGAGGAUGU